UCCGGUUUGUCACCGGCAGUCUCGCAUGAGUCCCCAACUAAAUGCUGGCAACAUGCGACGAGGGUUGCGCUCGUUGCGGGACUUAACCCAACAUCUCACGACACGAGCUGACGACAGCCAUGCACCACCUGUGAUCCUGCCCCGAAGGGAGACUGUGUUUCCACAGCUGUCAGGAACAUGUCAAGCCCAGGUAAGGUUCUUGGCGUUGCGUCCAAUUAAACCACAUGCUCCGCUGCUUGUGCGGGUCCCCGUCAAUUCCUUUGAGUUUUAACCUUGCGGCCGUACUCCCCAGGCGGUCAACUUCACGCGUUAGCUUCGUUACCAAGGAAUAACUUCCCCGACAACUAGUUGACAUCGUUUAGGGCGUGGACUAC
rnacentral:misc_RNA from 1 species